ACUGGUCUGCAGGACUGGUGACAUGCUCCUCACAUCUGGCCAGGGUCAGCCCGUGUGUGCUCAUCUUACACACGUGGUCUCCAGCUCACCUCCAGCAUGAGCACUUGUGACCACACACUGAGAAUAACAGGUGACUCCAAGCUUGGAGCAGUUGUGAGCUCACAGCUGUCAGCUUGGGUCCAGAGGCCAACACACCGAGUAGCUUGGUGUUGCAGUGGCCUGGCUGUGCGGCCCGUGGAAGCAGACAACGGCAGUCAGGACUGCAGGGCCCUACCACGUCCCUACAGCCCUUCCCCAACACAGGAGGUGCAAGCUCAGCAUUACCCAAGAACAUGGGGCUGGGGCCAAGCGGUGGAGGCUUCAGUCUAAGUUCUGCAACGAAGAAUCAGCUUGGUUUUGGGUGAGCCAUGUGGGGCAUAAGGUUCUUCAGCAAAAUGAGGGACUGAACCAUAGAACCUUAAGUUGGAUUUGUGAAGAAAAUUACUUUGAGAACAAAAAAGGGAACAGUUUCCAAAUCACGAAAUGAUCUUACUAAUCUAUCAUAGCUCUUAAAAUGUAGUUCGCCUCAUUAAUGGAAUAAUACAAAAGGAAAAUGUAGUUUGCCUCAUUAACUUGGAAUAAUAUGACAGGACACUGAUUUCUGCCCAUUUGUAUGCAGACUUCAUUAGAAAAUAGUCAAAAUUUAGUUUCUAUAAAAAUUGUAAGUACCACUGUACCACACUGCAUUAGACUAACAGGUCAUCUUUAGUGCUCAAAAUAAACUUGUCCUGCAGGACCUCAUGGCCUCUGAAAUGAAAGAGGAGUUUGGCCUGACAACCGCCACGCCUACUGCCACCUAAGCAGCAGCGUCCAGCAUCUGCAGGUCUCUCAGCCGCUUGUCAUGGCUUCGCUGACAACCUCAGUCUGGAGAGGAGAGGGAACCCUGCAGGACUGUGUAUGCAGUGCAGACUUUUUUUUUUUUUUUUUUGUAAAGACAGGGUCUCGCUAUGUUUCUCAGGCCAGUGUCAAACUCCUGGCCUUAAGUGAUUCUCCCACCUCAGCCUGCCAAAGUGCUCAGAUUACAGGUGUGUGCCCAGCCACGGCGCAAACUUCUGAGGACCUACUGCCAACCAGCUAUCCUAAGAUGCUGCAGAGGGUUCCUGCAUUUAGCGAGGAUGCUGCAUGAGAUACUCUCUACCUCCUGGCUGACACUGGCCCCAUGGAAAGUGAUACCGAUAUCUAGCGAGUGUCCACAUGAGUCCGUAAAUGAGAUUAUUUUCGUGACUUUUAGUUUCACUGCCCUUCCAUACAAAUUUUAGAAUAAUCUUGCGCAUCUACAAAAAAAUACCUUGCUGGGAUUUUUGCUAGCAAGUACAUCAAACCUGUACAUCAGUCUGGAGGGAACCCACGUCUCUGCUGAGCCUUCCAGUACAUGAACACGGCAAACACAUCAGAGCAUAAGUGGUUCCUAAUGCCAAGCUGACCUCCCUUGAUCUCUGUCUUCUACAGGAUAUUGACAUGGGACUUCUUUAUUACCUUUUCAGUUCACUGAUACCUUCAAAUAGCUUUAUUUAAAAAAUGUUUUGCUAGCUUUUCUAUUUGUCUUCAACCAGAAAGUGAGUCCAAAUUAUCUCAGUCUUCUAUUCCUGGAGGCAGCUCCAAAAUUGUUUCUCUCUAUAGCUCAAUUUUGGAGUGUGACCCCCCAAGGCUCAGGCAAGAAAAGCAAAAAUAAACAAGUGGGACUACCUCACAUAGCAAAGCUUAGCUGAACAGCAAAGUGACCAAUGAAGUAAAUGAAAAGGCAGUCUAUGGACUGGGAGAAAAUAUUUGCAAACCAUGCAUCUAAUAAGGGGCUAACAUCCAAAAUAUGUAAGGAACUCACACA
rnacentral:lncRNA from 1 species